CCGGCGCACGGGUGAGUAACACGUAUGAAACCUGCCCGUAGCAGGGGGAUAAGCGGAAGAAAUUCUGUCUAAUACCGCGUAACAACCCAUGGAGGCAUCUCUGUGGGUUUAAAGGAAGCGAUUCCGGCUACGGAUGGUCAUGCGUCGCAUUAGCUUGUUGGCGGGGUAACGGCCCACCAAGGCGACGAUGCGUAGGGGUUCUGAGAGGAAGGUCCCCCACACUGGUACUGAGACACGGACCAGACUCCUACGGAAGGCAGCAG
rnacentral:rRNA from 1 species